AGUUCACAAAGGACGAAUGUAAAUUAUUAUCAAGUUAAGUUUCUAAGUUUCAAAAUGCUGUCAAUACUAAAAGGAAAUGGAAUACAAUACGAGAAAUCGGUAUAGGCAAAUCCAGGCGUACUAGCACUGAUGAGAAUCCGGAUGCCCUUAAUCAAUUUUUCGUCAAUGCUUCCGCAAAUACUACAUCCAGCAACACGUCGGAGCUUUUGGUCUUACCCUCAGCAGCAGUACCUACUUUUCCUCAAUCUUCAGAAUUUGAAUUUUUCUGCUUGACACCAUAGGAUGUCGUUGAAUGUUUUUUAUCUAUAUUUUGCCAUGUUUGACACAUCUUUUUAACAACAUAUUAACUACAAGCCAGUAUCCUGCGGAAUGGUUUUUGAGCACAUAGUUCGCAAACAACUGCACUGAUAUAUAGAUGAGCAUUGCCUACUCUCGGACAAGCAGUAAGGCUUUAGAGCAUAUCACAGUUGUGUCACAGCUUUGAUAGAUGUCAUUGAAGACCUAAGAUCUGGCACUUAGGACGGACUUGCAGCCUAUUUGGUACUACUAGACCAUUCAAAAGCCUUCGAUUGUAUUGAUCACGAUAUUCUCUGCCUAAAAUUAAAAAAACUAUUUCAAUUUUUCCAACGCAGCUAUUGCUCUAAUAUUGAACUACCUACGAGAUAGAACUCAAUCAGUUAUGAUUGGUACUUCCUGGUCCACAAUUCAAGGUGUGCCUCAAGGUUCUAUCUUGGGCCUGGUCUUGUUCUCCAUGUACAUCAACGACUUGCCACAUCAACUGGAGUAUUCAAACAUCCAUACAUAUGCAGAUGAUCUUCAAUUAUACCUUCAUUGCCACUAAUCAUCACUAUCAGAUGGUAUAUUAAAGCUAAACAGAGAUCUCUGCAAAAUACACACAUGGGCCACUGCAAACAAUCUUCUGAUAAACCCAAAUAAAUCUAAAUUCAUGCUUAUUACUGACAGAAGGCAAAGCAUAUGUUGUGAGUUUCCAUUUCUCUUCGGAGACCAAAAUUGAGUAAGUUUACAAAGCUUAAAAUUUAGGCAUAAUAGAAAAUAGCACUUUAACAUGAAAGGAUCACGUCAUCGCAAUGACAGGAAAAGUUUUUGGAAUGCUAAGGACACUAUACCAAACCCAACUACUAACCCCGCAACAUAUCCGAACACUUCUGGAAAAAUCUUACUUAUUGCCAACACUGACACUGAUGUAUGGUUCUGAAUUGUUCGGAAAAUGUGACUCGAAAAGCAAGUACAGAAUGCAAACAGUUUAAUGCCAUGGCUACGGCCUGAGAAAACAUGAAACCUGCUCACAGUUUUCAAAAGAAUUGCAGGGAGUUGAUUUUAACAACCUUUUAAACAUCAAGGUUCUUAUAAUGCUGCAUAAAAUUAUUAAUAAAUAAACACCGGAGUAUCUCCACAAUAAUUUGGAUUUUGGCCGAACCACCAGAAGGAUAUUUAUCGUCCCAAAGCGACACAAUAUGCUGGUGUCCGAAUGGCAUUUCUUUUUUAAUGCAGUCCGUCUAUGGAACUCCUUGCCAACAUCAAUACAAAUUUUAA
rnacentral:sRNA from 1 species